rnacentral:rRNA from 1 species
ACUCCUACGGGAGGCAGCAGUGGGGAAUAUUGGACAAUGGGGGGAACCCUGAUCCAGCAAUGCCGCGUGUGUGAAGAAGGCCUGAGGGUUGUAAAGCACUUUCGCUGGGGAGGAGUGACUGCCAGGUUAAGAGCUAGGCAGUUGGACGUUACCCAGAUAAGAAGCACCGGCUAACUCCGUGCCAGCAGCCGCGGUAAU